AGAAAAUUCAAUAGGAAAGCAGUAGACUGACAUACAUCUGGGUUGCAACAGUCACCUAGACUGAAAACCAUCAUACCCUUUAUUAUAAGUGUGUUACAGGCUGCUUUCUGUGCCCAAGGUUUACCAAGACAUCUUAGAAUUCUUUUGUAUGUCCUCCCAUCUUCUCACUUUCACCUGAGAGAUGAUACAGAAACAUGAUCAUUAUGAUUUCCAAUGACUCAUGCUCAGCAGCACAAACUCAAAUUGAUUACCAAACCAUCCUCCAGGAAAUACUGGCCCUGAUCUGAACAUGCAUGGAAAGCCUCAAUUACAAGCUUCACCUCUCUGCUUUGAAAAUGUGGUGUUGGCCACCCAGUAUGAAGAAGGCUUCCUCAAUGCCAACAGCUGGAUUUUUAUUGUUGUAUCCUUUAUGGUCAUUGCUCAGUGAAGUCCUAUUUAGUAAGAAGAAUGUGAGCCACUCUUUAUUAGGUGUAAAUUGUGUAUUACUGCAUCAAGAGAAUGAUGUCGAUUUACAUGGAAUCAUGGCUUGGCUCACUCAAGCUCUGCUCCACUUCGCUGGACUCCUUUGGAACUGCAAAGUGGCAUCCUACUGAUUUCUUCUGCAACUCUAUUCCUCACAUCUCCCAGGCCCUGGCGUUUGUAUUUCCUGAUCUUAAAGCACAAUGUCUUAAUUAUGGUCAGAGAAAAGACAUAAGGAAAAGGAAUGUCCUGACUUGUCUUUUAACUGCAGUUCUUACUGGUAUUUAUUUCAAAGUGCAAUUACAGGAACGGAAAUGACUAUGCAAAAAUGCCCUUUUCCUACUAACAAUCUCAGCAGCUUGUGUACAUUUGAGUAAAAUCUUCAGACCUUUGUUGACAUAAGUUUUAGUGCAUGUCAUAUUUAUUUUCUAGCCUGUAUUACAAAAUAGCCUUGCAGGAAAGUGUCUUCAGGGAGAGGAGAAGGGUAAAGAACCAGAGGGACCAGCGGUGCAGAAGUCACUUCUGUCAGUUGCUUCUCUUGAGUCAGGCAGCCUUAGCUGCCGAAACUGUUAGCUUCUCCUGCCCCCUCGUGCAGGCUUGUGAACACUGCCAGCGACUUUCUCUGGCAGAAAUCUGCCAGAGAAACUGCAAAAUAGAAUAAACGAACACAGGACCUUCGGGAUAUAGCA
rnacentral:lncRNA from 1 species